CCCUGAUAAAGCCACACACCGGGCGACCGGGGGCCGGAAAGCUACGGGUCUCACCAGAGACAGCCUUGUAGCUGCCAGG
rnacentral:ncRNA from 1 species